GCGAGUUCAACUCUCUAAAACCAUUGUGAACGAACUGCCAAACGUUGCUUCGGCGGGAGACCCCGCCGACAGAACGCAAACUCUGUAAUUAUUGUAUCUCUGAGUAUACUUUUAAUAAGUUA
rnacentral:misc_RNA from 1 species